AACAGGAUUAGAUACCCUGGUAGUCCACGCCGUAAACGAUGUCGACUUGGAGGUUGUUCCCUUGAGGAGUGGCUUCCGGAGCUAACGCGUUAAGUCGACCGCCUGGGGAGUACGGCCGCAAGGUUAAAACUCAAAUGAAUUGACGGGGGCCCGCACAAGCGGUGGAGCAUGUGGUUUAAUUCGAUGCAACGCGAAGAACCUUACCUACUCUUGACAUCCACGGAAUUCGGCAGAGAUGCCUUAGUGCCUUCGGGAACCGUGAGACAGGUGCUGCAUGGCUGUCGUCAGCUCGUGUUGUGAAAUGUUGGGUUAAGUCCCGCAACGAGCGCAACCCUCGUUCUAUGUUGCCAGCACGUAAUGGUGAGAACUCAUGGGAUACUGCCGGGGUCAACUCGGAGGAAGGUGGGGAUGACGUCAAAUCAUCAUGCCCCUUAUGUCUUGGGCUUCACGCAUGCUACAAUGGCCGGUACAAAGGGCUGCAAUACCGUAAGGUGGAGCGAAUCCCAAAAAGCCGGUCCCAGUUCGGAUUGAGGUCUGCAACUCGACCUCAUGAAGUCGGAGUCGCUAGUAAUCGCAGAUCAGCAACGCUGCGGUGAAUACGUUCCCGGGUCUUGUACACACCGCCCGUCAAGUCAUGAAAGUCGGUAACACCUGAAGCCGGUGGCCCAACCCUUGUGGAGGGAGCCGUCGAAGGUGGGAUCGGUAAUUAGGACUAAGUCGUAACAAGGUA
rnacentral:rRNA from 1 species